GUGAAAGGUCCUGGAUUGACAAUGCUAAAUAAUUUAUCCACAGAAUAGAUAGCAGCACAGACAGCAUCAUUGCAAGCUUUCCCACAUGCUUUAGUACUUCCCAGAGGGACCACCUAUGUGGGCAAGAGGUAAUUCAGUCUCCAUGCCCAUUCAUUCCGUGGCCUUU
ensembl:misc_RNA